GCUCAGGAUGCAAACAAUCUGCUACACGAGAAAAUAAACGCACGCGACCCAAACUCUCACGGAAAGGUCCACUGCCUUUCUAAAAUCAGACACACUGCUGCACGGAGUACUUAUUUUCUGCAAAGAUCAUGUCCUGUGCCAUCUACGAAUAGAACUACAAGGACAAACAUUCUUUUAAGAUCUCUUUGAGGAAUACAAUCUAUUUUUCUGUUGGGAUGCAUAAGAGAUCAGUUUCAGCUGCUCGCUACUGCUGCCACAGAAGGAUCCAAUUUUUUCCAGAUGUGAAUGUGCCACUUGAGUGAAUAGAAUCAAAAGGUCAAAACAAAAUGCAACAUGCUUUGAGACAGACCGAUCACUACAUACAACCACCAUUUUCUCCACAUUCAGUACUCCAGAGGAGACCAAUUCUAUCCGUAAGCAAAAAAAAAACCUAUUCUCAGCUGUUUCUAUUAAACAAAGCCAGUAAAGUUCAAAUUAUUGUUUGUCUAAUAAUUAGCUUUAAAAAUGGUAACCAUCUGACAUUUAAAAAGCAAAUAUUGUUUCUCCAUGAAAAUGCAUCAUUAAAGAUGAUUUCAUAAGUGAAAUACUGUCAA